UAGUUCUUUUUCUUCGUUGAUCCCUGAAACCCUUUUCUUGCCCAGGUAAGGGUAUUUUGGUACCAUCUCUCUCUUGUCUCACUCUCAUCCACCACAAUAAUCACCACCGGGCACCACCACUGCCACUGCCAUUCACCACCACAACCACCGCAACUGCCGCCGCCACACAACCAUCCGGAAUGAGACCAAAACGAACCCCAUCUCCCUUUCUUCUUCACCUUUCCACCAGAUCCGCAACCGAUCGUUCUUCUUCUUCGUUGAUCCCUGAAACCCUAAUUUGAACUUUCAGCCACCGAUCGUUCUUCUUCUUCGAUGAUGAUGAUCGAUGAACGGUUAGGAUAUGAUGAUGCUGAAGAAUGGAGAAGGUGAAUGGAGGUGAAUAGUGAUGACAGAGGAGGUUCAAUGGUCGCCGGAGAGGAUGACCGGAGACGGAGAAGGAGCUGUUGGUGACGGAGGGAUCUGAUAUAUUGUCUUGUAUGCGGUUGCUACUUCCGUUUUAUUGGAUCAAUAGAAAUUCAAAUCGGAAGGAAGUUGUAUCUGCAGGGUUUAGGCAGCCCAAAAGAUGAUAGCUUUAAUGAAAAGUUGGAAUUAUUAAUGCUUUAGAAAUUGGAAUUGCCUCACUCAAAGAAAUUCCCAUUGCUUGGGGUUAUAAAUUGCCCCGGUGGAUGUAAAGAGGUUUACUACUGUAGGUAAUUUGAUUAUGGUCUUAUAUUCCCUCUUAGUUAGUUGACCAUCAUCAUUUUUCUAUUUCUUUGAAAAUCAUCAAUUGAAGUUGAUGAAAAUACCCAGGCUUUGUAAAGGCCAAAGAUGUAAAGUUAUACAUUUAGCUCUGGUUAAAUGUGUCGAAUGAUAAAAAAUCACCCAAGUGACCUCAAGUUUUUGCAAUUAUUUGUAGCAAAUGUUGUGCACAUGAUGGUGGUUUAUUUUGCAUGUAUAAAAUUAUAUA